UGUUUCUAGGCUAGCAUAGCAUAAUAUUAUAGACGUAACCACUUGUACACUUCUUUGUUCUUUAGUAAUUCAGUGUCAGUCUACCUCUACUAUAGUACUAUGUGGUACUACAUUAAGUACUAAACUACUAACUAGUAGUCGUAGUCAACUUACUACUUGGUGAGUUUCGUCCCCACCGUUAUUAUGUCUAACGAUAUUGUAUGUAUUGUGAGAAAAUAAGUGGGUCUCGUCUCUGGGUGCCGAGUAUAUUUCUUCUCAGUCCAUUAUAAUCUAGGCAAUUAUUGAAAUUCACUGAAACGAGACGACAACUGGAGUACUGGACCAUUCAAUUUNUGCUUGAAUCGUUUUCCGUAACGGUGAGUCCUACUAGGCAGUAACGAUGUGUUUGCUAUAAAUCUACUUACAUUUCGUUACCCGAUUGGAAUCUGUUUGAGAAAUGGGUUCCAAAAUCGAAUAUGUGGACUCCUCACAAAUGUACGCCACAAAUUAUGUGCGUAACUCCAAAGCGGUUGGCGUAUUGUGGGGUAUAUUUACAGUUUGCUACGCAAUAAUUGUAGCUGUGGCCUUCAUCACUCCAGAAUGGAUAGGCGACACUACAACAUCUGAAAAUCCUGCUCGGUUCGGUCUAUGGAGCAGCUGUUACUUCGGCAAUGGUGUGACGACUGCUGUUGAGGACUGUCAGGGAAAACUAGAAGACGUGUCCAAUAUACCAAGUAUAGCCAUAAGAGUGGCGGCUAUUUUUGGCAGUGUGUCAGUUUGCAUUGCUAUAAUNAUUGUGGUAAUGUUAUUGUUGUUCUUCUUAUUUCAAUCGACAACAGUUUACCUUAUUUGUGGAUGGCUACACAUUUUAUCAGCUGGGUGUCUGAUCGUGUCCAUUGUUGUUUUUCCAAUGGGGUGGGAUUCAUCACAUAUUCAAAAAACAUGUGGUCCAGAGGCUAAAAGCUAUAGUCUUGGUGACUGUAAUUUCCGUUGGGCAUAUUUAUUAGCAGUCAUUGCAAGUGUGGAUGCACUUAUUUUAUCAGCUUUGGCUUUUAUUUUAGCCACUAGGCAUAUAAAACUUCAACCAGAACCUUUAUAUGCAUCUACAUUGCGCAAAGGUGAGCUCAAUGGUGGGUAUUUAGGUGACAGUAGUGCAUCAAUGGCUGGUUCUAGGAAGUCAUUGAAUUUGCAACCAGUUAUGUUGAUGCCACAGCCAAUGAUGGACCAAGAUCGGUUUUCUGAAUUUUCGAAUAGGACGGGUCGCUCUCAUAAAGGUGCCAUGUACCGACCAGAGUAUGCUUCAUCUAGUAUUCAUAAUUUUCAACUCUGAAGAAUUUUUAGAAAAAAAUAUGAUACUUUAGUAUAAGNAAAAUAAAACAGGUUUUUUCUAUACCAAUUAUGUGGUGGCAUCAUGUUGCAAAGAAUUAGAAACCAUUCUGUCAACGCCAAUUUGCCAGUACCAGAGGCAUAGAUGUGUGCAGUGGGCUAGGUGGACCAUGGCCAUCCUGCGAACCGUACUGUACUUGUUAUACAUAUUACGACCU
rnacentral:misc_RNA from 1 species